GUUGACUGUCUUUGCAAGCUCUAAACAUUUGUAGUUUAACUUAAGAAUGUCAAGGUUUAAGCUUGAUCAUGGAAAUGUCAUCACAAGGUUCCCCGUAAAAACACUGUAACCUUAAAUUCUAGUCCAAGUUCAGCUGCAUGGUUUAAUGUUACUCUUUCCUAAUGGCUUAACUAAAUUGUCACCAAAUAAAAAAUAUUUUCUAGAAAUCUGAUUCUUGGAC
rnacentral:misc_RNA from 1 species